rnacentral:rRNA from 1 species
GGAGGCAGCAGUGAGGAAUAUUGGUCAAUGGGCGAGAGCCUGAACCAGCCAAGUAGCGUGAAGGAUGACUGCCCUAUGGGUUGUAAACUUCUUUUAUAAAGGAAUAAAGUCGGGUAUGCAUACCCGUUUGCAUGUACUUUAUGAAUAAGGAUCGGCUAACUCCGUGCCAGCAGCCGCGGUAAUACGGAGGAUCCGAGCGUUAUCCGGAUUUAUUGGGUUUAAAGGGAGCGUAGAUGGAUGUUUAAGUCAGUUGUGAAAGUUUGCGGCUCAACCGUAAAAUUGCAGUUGAUACUGGAUAUCUUGAGUGCAGUUGAGGCAGGCGGAAUUCGUGGUGUAGCGGUGAAAUGCUUAGAUAUCACGAAGAACUCCGAUUGCGAAGGCAGCCUGCUAAGCUGCAACUGACAUUGAGGCUCGAAAGUGUGGGUAUCAAACAGGAUUAGAUACCCUGGUAGUCCACACGGUAAACGAUGAAUACUCGCUGUUUGCGAUAUACUGCAAGCGGCCAAGCGAAAGCGUUAAGUAUUCCACCUGGGGAGUACGCCGGCAACGGUGAAACUCAAAGGAAUUGACGGGGGCCCGCACAAGCGGAGGAACAUGUGGUUUAAUUCGAUGAUACGCGAGGAACCUUACCCGGGCUUAAAUUGCAGAUGAAUUACGGUGAAAGCCGUAAGCCGCAAGGCAUCUGUGAAGGUGCUGCAUGGUUGUCGUCAGCUCGUGCCGUGAGGUGUCGGCUUAAGUGCCAUAACGAGCGCAACCCUUGUUGUCAGUUACUAACAGGUUCCGCUGAGGACUCUGACAAGACUGCCAUCGUAAGAUGUGAGGAAGGUGGGGAUGACGUCAAAUCAGCACGGCCCUUACGUCCGGGGCUACACACGUGUUACAAUGGGGGGUACAGAGGGCCGCUACCACGCGAGUGGAUGCCAAUCCCCAAAACCUCUCUCAGUUCGGACUGGAGUCUGCAACCCGACUCCACGAAGCUGGAUUCGCUAGUAAUCGCGCAUCAGCCACGGCGCGGUGAAUACGUUCCCGGGCCUUGUACACACCGCCCGUCAAGCCAUGGGAG